GGAGGCGGCAGCGCGGGCCGGCCGAGCGGCGGGGAGAGGCGGCAGCCAGCGGCCAGGCGGGGGAGGGGGCUCCGCGCUCCGCUCCCACCGCGGGCAGGCACCGCCCGCCCCUCCCCGAUGCCUUCCCACAGCCGGGCCGCGCCGAGCGGGAGGCCCCGGGGGCUGGUGGUGACGGGAGGGCGGGGGGUCCCUCCGCGCUGCCCUCAUGACUUAGGCGGGGGCCGCCGCUGCCCGUGUCCCCCUCCAUGGCUGACGAGGCAGCACCGGGGAGCCACGGCCUCCCGGUGGCCGGAGCGGGCUACCCCUGCUCCUGUCCUGUCCCCCACAUCCGCGGGGUUGAGGUGUGGGAGCUCGGGUGCAGCCGUGCGGGCCCAUCCCAGGCCGGUAUUUCACAGCCGCGAGCCGUCAGGCAACGGGUGGGAUUUUUGUCCCAAGCUCAUUUGGGGUGUCUUCAUUUUGCAGCCCACUUUUUUUUUUGCAGGAGGUGUGGGGUCCCAGGAAACAGCCUGGAGCAUUUCCAGGUGCCAAAGUCCAACCCGUCUACACUCCCAGAGAACCUUUGCCUGCCACUGUUAGCCUUAACAAGCAACAUUAAACAAUGUAAAUAGCAAGAGCCUGUAUUUAUUUUAUAGACCAAUAUUUCAGGUCCAGAUGGCCUCUUCACAUGCAGAGGUGUGACAGGGUGGAGGGACAGUGAGAGAGGGACUGAGGGGAUUGAACAAGGAAGAAGUUAAGUUAGCAACUGAUAUAAGAAUUGAGAUAGGAAUUGCAGAGGCUCCCACUCUUACUUUUUAUAGAGCAUGCCACAUAGUUGAGCAUAUGUGUGUUCCACCUCCCACUUUGCAGGAUAUUGCAUAAUAUCACCAUCUGAAUUUAUAGAAUUAACUGUUUUAGAAGGAAGCAAUGAAUGCUGUUUUCCCUCAUUUACAGUCCAACUGGAGAUCUUUUGUCUCUCAACGUAUGUUAGCCACAGAAUCUGAGAACAGCCAGUCUGUGACAGUCUGUUUUGCCAAGUACUCAGGUUGGACCCCAGAGCUUGUUGCAGUUUUAAAAGCAAAGGGAAACAUUUUACUUACUGCUGAACAAUCUUUACAUAUCACCUUUGAAGUAUAUACUAUGUAUAUAUGAUGUAUACUUUGUUACAUAUAUACUAUUUACAAAUCAAAACUUGGAAAAAAAUAAGCUAUUCUUGUCUUGAAAAAUAAUAUACCAAGGAUUUAGAAAUGAAGUCCCAAUACUCUCACUGAUUUACAAAGGAUCUCACCCUACUGUAUAACAGCAUAGUCCCAGCCUUGAAGGAUAAAAGAAGCCCUAAACCAAUCUGUAGCUGCAUUUGCUUCCUGGUUAAACAGUAAAUAAAAUAAUUUCAAUAAUUGAUGUGCAACUUCAAAGGCAAAAAGAGCUGUGUUUGUUCAGCCUGGAAAAAAGAAACUUUGGGGUGACCUAAUUGCAGCCCUUCAGUAUCUGAAAGGAGCCUACAAUAAGGAUGAAGAGAGACUUUUUACAAGAGCAUGUAGUGACAACAGGGCAAGGGGGAAUGGUUUCAGACUAAAAGGAGGUUUAGAUUAGGUAAUAGGGUAAAAAUCCUUCUCUGUGACACUGGUGAGGCAGGUUGUCCAGGGAAGCUGUCGCUGCCACAUUCCUGGAAUUGUUAAAGGCCAGGUUGGAUGGAGCUCUGAGUAACCUGCUCUAGUGAAAGGUAUUCCACAGCAAGGGGCUACACAUAGAUGUUCAGUCCCCUCCAACCCAAGCCAGUCUGUGAUUUUUUCCUUCUUUAUGUGGGAGUUUAAACUGUGUUUGACUUGAUUUUUUUUUUUUUUACUUUUUUUUUUAGUAUGACAGACUUCUGCAAACUCUUGCAUUUUUGACCUCAGUUUUGAAACUUUAUACCCUUAAAUUUGCACUGAAAUUAGUUUCUUAUAAUCAUAUUAGGUUCCCUAUUAAGAACAGUGGGAUGACUUGUGCACAGAGAUGUCCAGACAUCUCUGAUGACUGAGGGCCAUGUGUUACAACGUCAAGUUAUUAAUAAUUUAGUUUUAUAUCAAAGCUGUGGAACUAAUGUGUUAUUUGAAAAAAACAUUCUGAACUUCUCUCAAAUCCCAGAGGCAGAUCUUAAUUCAAUUUCUUUGCUGUCCCAGUUUUCAAAGGGUACAAGUGCAAAAUUAGUGAUGUUGCUUCAAACGAAAACAGCAGCCAAGACACUUCAGAGUUGGGCACCUUCAUAUUACUAUUUUCCCCAUGUUUAUUCAAGCAUAUAAGAUGUACUUUAAAAGGGAAGACAAUUAUCAUUUAGAAUUGAGAGCUGACCUUUUUCUUUGUUGAUUUACUAAGCCUCAAAACUGAGUUACGUUUGUAUCUCUCUUAGGCUGUUUGUUCUGCUGCAAUUUUCUUCAGAAUUGCUGAAAUUAGAUCAAUUGCUAAUCAGGUUCUUUGGGUUAAAGGUUAAAACCUGGUAUCUCAAGUGAUUAGCCUCAGUUGCCAUUUAUUUUCACUGGAAUUUUAUAUAUGUAUAUUUAUAAACCUCUUCAGCCUCACUAACAUCAGAGAGGUUACACAAGCACGCAGCACUACUUCCUCAGAGGUCCUUAUGUUUUUUAUCUCAAUGUCUUCUAACGUUAAAGCAUUUUUUGGGGGGGGGAUGAAAUGUUCUGAAAACAGAUCUGAAAUGAUGGUUUAUGGCAGGAGAAUUUUUAUUUUUCCAGCCAAACUUGGCUAAAAGAAGUUAGCUCACUUUUAUGUAACAGCAAAUCAAAGAGGGUUGCAGUUAUACUAAUGCAGUAUUAUUUAAUGGAGUGCAUUCCAACAAAAAAGGAGAGCUGACUGAAUCAGCUGUGAGCCAGCACCAGCUGAACAUCACAUUAAAAGCCGUGUAAGCUUAUGUGCUCAAAAAAUGGCCUUGUAGAGAGAAAUCAGGCAAAACAUCCCCUAAACCACAUUCACUUGGAAACUCUGACAUUUUCAGUGUGGAUUUGGUCUCAAUGAUCUUAAUGGCCUUUCCCAACCUGAAUGAUUCCAUGCUGUGAAAAGAAAAACAGCCAUAAUCACGUUUCCAGCCAACACUCUGCUGACCCAUGAUACAGGGAAAAAUGCAGAGGAUUAGGAACGCUUUCCCUGGUUGCUCAGGCAACAGAAAGACAUGGGAAUAUGAAAAGUUAUUACCAUCCUUUGUACAGAAUCUCACUAGAGUUCUCAGACAUGUUUAUAAUUUUUUAUUUUUUCUAUUUUUUUGUAAUUUUCUAGUUUUCCUUCUUUCCCAUUAUCACAUACUUAAAACAUGAACAUUAUUUGUUUAGUCUGCUACCUAGAAUGUGAAAAUGUUAAACUUGAAAACAUUUCAUAUAUCUUUUUCCUACAUAAAUAAAAUAUGUAGUUUUCUAAGAGGCUGUGGAAAUUUUCAAAAUUAUGCACUGAAAGGUUUCUAGGUGGUAUCCAAAACACAACUACUACUAUCUCCCUUUAAAAAUCCUCUAGUUUUGUGGCAUCUCUUAAGAAAAUAAAAUGAUUGUUCCUUCAUCUGCUUUUCUUUCCCACUUACAUGUGCCAUUACCUAACAAAUAGGCCCCAUAAAGUUGCAACUUCACAGACCUAAUUAACUGUCAAAAUAAACUUACAGAGAAAGAUU